UAAGUCCAUAGCCUCUGCAUCCUCGAA
rnacentral:sRNA from 1 species